AUUGAACGCUGGCGGCAGGCCUAACACAUGCAAGUCGAACGAGUGGAGGACGGGCGGAUAAUGUCUGAGAAACUGCGCGACCUAGGGGUCUAACUGCUGUAAACGGUGGAUACUACCGCAUACCGUCCGAUGUGCCCUGAGGGGAGUAGCUAUUAGGUGGGGUAACGGCUCACCUAGGCGACGCUCCCUAGCUGGUCUGAGAGGAUGACCAGCCACACUGGAACUGAGACACGGCCCAGACUCCGACGGGAGGCAGCAGUGGGGAAUAUUGCGCAAUGGGCGAAAGUCUGACGCAGCCAUGCCGCGUGAAUGAAGAAGGCUUUCGGGUUGUAAAGCACUGUCAGUGAGGAGGCGUUACCCGAAGAAGAAGCAACGGCUAACUCCGUGCCAGCAGCCGCGGUAAUAC
rnacentral:rRNA from 1 species